rnacentral:rRNA from 1 species
CGAGUGGCGGACGGGUGAGUAAUGUCUGGGAAACUGCCUGAUGGAGGGGGAUAACUACUGGAAACGGUAGCUAAUACCGCAUAACGUCGCAAGACCAAAGAGGGGGACCUUCGGGCCUCUUGCCAUCGGAUGUGCCCAGAUGGGAUUAGCUAGUAAGUGGGGUAACGGCUCACCUAGGCGACGAUCCCUAGCUGGUCUGAGAGGAUGACCGGCCACGCUGGAACUGAGACACGGUCCACACUCCUACGGGAGGCAGCGGUGGGGAAUAUUGCACAAUGGGCGCAAGCCUGAUGCAGCCAUGCCGCGUGUAUGACGAAGGCCUUCGGGUUGUAAAGUACUUUCAGCGGGGAGGAAGGGAGUAAAGUUAAUACCUUUGCUCAUUGACGUUACCCGCACAAGAAGCACCGGCUAACUCCGUGCCAGCAGCCGCGGUAAUACGGAUGGUGCACGCGUUAAUCGGAAUUACUGCGCGUACCGCGCAUGCAGGCGGUUUGUUAAGUCAGAUGUGAAAUCCC